rnacentral:lncRNA from 1 species
UUCUCAUGACUCCCUUCUUGAGUUCAGUAAUUUACUGGAAUGACUCACAGAACUUAGAAAAGUGCUUUGCUUACUAUUACCAGUUUAUUGUAAAGGAUACAACUCAGGAAGAGCCUAAUGGAAGACAUGCAUAAGACUUGUUGAAAAUCCAUUGAGCAUAAAAGUGAGAGUUUACUUCUGGAUUCCCAAUUCUAUUCCAUUGAUUUAUAUAUCUAUCCUUAUGGUAGGACCACCCUGUCUUGAUUACUAUUGCUUUGUGGUAAGUUUUGAAGUUAGAAAGUGUAAGAACUCCAUUUGUUAUUGUUUUUCAAGAUUGUUUUGUCUGUUUUGGGUCAUUAUAAUUUAGGAUCACUUUGUUAUUAUCUGCAAAGAAGCCAGGGGAGAUUUUGAUAGUGAUUGCCUUAAGUCUGUAAAUCAAUUAGGGAAUAUUGCCAUCUGAACAAUGUUAAGUCUUUCAAUCAAUGAACAUUGAAUUUAUUUCCAUUUAUUUAGGUUGUCUUUAGUUUCUUUUGACAACAUUUUGUACUUUUCCAUAUACAAGUCUGGCAUUUGUUUUGUUAAAUUUAUUCCCAAGAUUGUUUUUCUUUUUGAUACCAUUGUAAAUGGAAUCAUUUUCUUAAGUUCAUUUCAGAUUGUUAAUUUCUACUAUAAAGAAAUACAAUUGAUUUUGUAUAUUGAUAUUACAUCUUGCUACAUUGUACUUGUGUAUUAUUUCUCAUAGUUUAAAUAAUUAUUGUUAAUUGACAAUUUAUAAUUGUAUAUAUUUAUAGGGCACAAAGUAAUGUAAUCGACAUUCCUUCUGGAAAUGAUACCAUAUUAGGGUCUCAGCAAUGGCCUCUGCUGUUGGCAGGUUUCAUACUCAGCUAUGAGAGUAGUCAGAUCAGGUUGGUAUGGGAAGUCAAUAUUGUUGAGCUCUCACAUAGUUCUAUUUCUGUUUCUGUGGCCACUUUGUACAAGGGCCCAUUGAGCAAACAUUGGGAUAGCAGUGGCAGGGGAAUGGGGAGGCUGAAUGAUAUCUACAGAGAUGGUCAUUUUUUCCUCCCAAUUAUUGAUAGUUGCCUCUGCAGUGGAUGCCCCCAGUGGGUACACUCACUACCUGAAUAAACAGAUAUGGACUAUUUAGAAGGGAAUGUGGCCUGGUAGUCUUUAGAUUUCAAGACCCUCCCAAAAGGUAAAAACAGGCAGAACCUUGGUUAGGGCAUCCACCUUGAGGGAGUCCUGUGCCACUGUUUCUUUGCAGCCAUUCUAAUCCAUGAACAAUGUAUCUUUCCAUUUAUUUAAAUCUUAAUUUCUCUCAUCAAUGUUUUGUAGUUGUCAAUGUACAAAUCUAGCACAUAGUUUGAUUUUUUAAAACAUGUUGGUACAUAUGUGCUUUGUGCCUACUGAAUUCAGAUAAACAUUUCCUUAUACUUCCUCCUACUUUUUUAUGGUUUAUAUUUAAUGUAAUUGAGAUCAUGCAAUGUGUAAAACUUCACUGUACAUCAGAAUCACCUGGGGAGUUUGUGGAAAUUGCAGGUUCUAGAGCCAUAUUCCUAGAAAUUCUGGGUUUGUGCCAGGGACCAGGGAGGUUCCCAGGGAGUCGUUUAACAUAUUUUGAACGUAUUUUGAAAAAAAUCAUUUUUAUACAUUGUUAAAAUGGUUUAUGAGCUGGAUUUAGAAUUAUCACUUCUCCUGUAUUAUUUAUUUUUGAAUUUCAAGUUGUAUUUUUGACAAGUGAAAUUACUUGCCCAAGGAUACACUGGGUCAAAAACUCAAGGCUCCUGACUCAGUCAUAAUCAAGUAAUUGUUAAAUAUAUGUGUCAAGUACAGUGCAACGGAUAUCAGGAUGAAUUUUUUAAAAGUCUGUUUUGAUAAGGGAAUAUACUGGUGGGCUAAAUAAAAAUGCCUAAGAGUUUUUAAUAUUUUUAAGAGCACUGUACCUCUUUCAGUUGCAAGUGGUUUAGAAUGGGAAGGGAUGUUUCACACAGGGUUAUCUCUGUGAUUAUAUAUGGAUAAGUCCCUUGAUUUUGUAUAGUAGGCCAGUCAAUGAGGCUUUUUAGAGAAAACUCACACUUAGAAAGGUAUAAAAAUUUAGAUAGGGUUCACCUGUGGUACUGGGGUAGGGUGUUUGGUGCAAACACAGUUCAUUAUCUAGCCAAUAGGUUAGACUCAGGACACAGUCCCAAGUAGACCCAAAAUGUCUCAAAUCCUAAGAAGAGAAAUGAAGCUGUAAGCAAAUAUAAAAUGAACUAAAAAUGUUAAUGGCUACUUUGCUAAGAACUGUGUAAUACAGUGGGCUCCAAGAAGCCCUAGAGUAGAACCACCUGCAAUUGGGACUGUGGCCCUUUGGGGACUGUAGGGAAUCAGAAGGGCUUUGUCACCAUGAGUACUCCAUUAUAUCAGUGGCUGUCAGCAGACAGUACAUAUACAGGGCAUAGCAGAACAGAAGUGCCCAGCAGAUAUGAUAGUAUCCAGAGAAGGAUGGCACCCUCUACUCAGCUGCUUGGAGUUGUUCCUGGGGACAGGUGAAACCUACCUUCAGCUCUUCUUUUAAGUGUCUGACAGGGUGCUGGGUCCUGCUCCUGUAAGGACAGCUCACAUGUUCAAUACCUCAUCUGAUCCACUGGGCAGUCCUGUGAGAUAAGUAUUAUCCCCAUUUCACAGAUGGCAAGACUGACCCUUACAGCAAUGGAUUUGUUAUAACUGCCAGGUUGAUACCUCUAGCUGUUAGUCUCAGAGGUAAUAUGAAUUUUACUUAUCAUUUUAUGUUCUGGCAACAGAAAUUUUAAGUGUCUUUAUUACCCUCAUAAGCUCAUUGAACAGUUCAAUUGUUUAUGUAUUGUUUUCUCGUUUAGUUUUUAAAAUUAUUGUUAUGACAAAAGGACAUAUCCUUUAAGAAAAGGUAGAGAUGAGUGAGAGCAAAGAAAAGAAAAAGAAUCGCAUCCUAUGGGGGAGCCAUAGGAUGGUAAAGGACCCAGGAGAAGGGGUAGCAGUGCCCACUCACGUAGUUACACCUAGGGAAGACAUGAGGAUGGGCACAACAACAGCAGAAUGGCAUGGAGGUACCUACCCAGCAAGUGAUUGAACUCAUUUUUGGAUACCAUUCAGGAAUAACCAUUGGCUGCUUUUUAGUGUACAUGCUUUCAGAGUUUUCUUUGUGCACAAAUGCAUUAUGCAAACAUUUACAUUUUUAUAAAAACGGGCUGAUACUGUAUAUGCGGUUCUGCAAACUUUUUUUAAUUUUAAUUUUAUUUUUUUACAAUGUACCAUGAACAUCUUUUCCAUGCACAUGGGUGAAAAUCCUCUACUAAAAUAUAGAGCGCCGUAGUUGGGUCAAAAGGCUGCUGGUAACGAGACUGACAUCUAAAGCAAAGUAUCAGCUUAAGGUUAAAGCAUUGGGCCUGGCAAAUACCUACCAGGGAAAGCAGGGCCAGCAAUAUUCUCAUCAGAGAAAUCAGAAUGGAAGG